UCAGGAAGGACGGGGUCCGGAAUUUCUUCUUCUUCUUGGAGGGUGAUUUGGAGGGUGAGCCUUCGGGGGAGACGGGGGUGCUGGUCAGCAUCUCGCUCUUCUCCUUGGGGGCAUCCUGCUCUGGGUUGGCCGGGGUGCUCGUCUGGUCCCCCCCUUUGCUCUCCUCCGUGCUCUGCUCCUCAUCCUUCCCAUUGACCACCGCAGGCGGCUCCUUCUCGGCGGAGGAAUCGGCCGGAGCUUGGCCAUCCUCCACCUUCUUGUCACCUUGACAAAGGGAGAGGGAGAGGAUGGAACAUGGGGCAGAGCCCCACAUCCCGGCCUCAGCAAUGGAACAAAGCGGGCAACACCAGCAAGGCAACCCAAGGCACGUCCUGCUGCAGGCGCUGAGCGGGCUGCUGGAGCCCGGCCCCUCCGUACUUACUACAGUGAUAAGCAUUCAGAGUCAGGGGGAACUCCUGGGGUGAAAGCGACACAUGGAGGAAAGAGAAAGGAAGACGUUGUGGAGACAGACAGACAGACGGACACCAUGAGACACGAUGAGACAGCCAGCAGCCCCCACCGUCGCCCCCCCCGUGCCCCGGCCCGUGCAGGUUGCAUAUGACAAGUGCAUGCGAUGUGUGGGCAACGACGCCGGGAGCCCCCCUGGGGUUUUGCUCUUCAGCCCUCUCCGCCCACACCCCACUCACCCUCCAGACCCUCUGGGGCUGCGCUUUUGUUGGGGGAUUUUGGAGACCCCGGUGGUGAUUUUGGGGGGGAUGCCUGGGUCUCCUCUUCCUCCUUGUCUCCUGCAGACAGACAGAUGGCUACAGACCCCAUAAUGGGGCUCUGGGAUGCACACGGUCCCCCCAGCUCGUACCGUGCAGCCCCAGCUUCUUCCUUUCCACCUCCCGCUUGUACUCCUCCAGCUCCUGGUCCGUGAGCUGGCUGAAGGGGUUCGGGGGCUCCGGCUCAGCUGGGACCUCCUCUUGGGAUGGGUUUUUGGUCUCGGCAUCCCCCAAAUGGCUUUCUGUGGACUGAACCCCCCCCCCCCAAAUAGCAGCGUCACCCCCUGGCACGAGGAGGAAUGGGGACUUGGGGACACGGGGGACGUACGGGGCUGCGGCUCGUCUCGGCGAUCACACUGGCCAGCAGCUGGGACUGCGGCCCUGCAGACUUGACGUCCUGGCGGUUCUGCUCACGGAUCUACAAGAGAGAUGCAGAGAGAGGAUGGGAAAACGUGGACCCGUUGUCCUUGGGACCCUUGGGACCCCGCAUCCAGGGUCACCCGGAUGGCAACGCACCUUGUUCCUCAUCUCCAGCACCUCCUGAGGGUCGGUGUAGAGGGGCACAAACUGGUUGGGGUUCUCGAUGCGGAUGGCAGUGCCACUGCUGCCCUUCUCCACCUCGUCAGCCUUCAGCCACUGCGCGGAGAGGAAGGGGGAAACAUCCAGAGAUGCAGGGCAUGGAGAGCAAAGCCAGGUGGAUUCAUGGCAUGGCGAGAGGAAACCCCAAUAAUUGCACGUAAUCAAGAGCAAGCCCCAACGAAUGCACGGAUGGUAUUGAGAAAAGAAACCCAGAUAAAUGCAUGGAAAGAGCACAAUACAUGCAUGGCAUGGAGGAAGCAAGUCCAAUAAAUGCAUGUCGUCAAGAGGAAACCUUAAUAAAUGCAUGGCUUUGAGUGGCAACCCCAAUAAACACAUGGCAUUGAGAGAGGAAACCCUAAUAAAUGCAUGGCAUUGAGAGCAAGCCCUGAUAAAAGAACGGUUUUGAGCAGUAACUCCAAUAAGUACGUGGCAUUAAGGGAGGAAACCUCGAUAGCUGUGUGUCAUGGAGAGCAAACCCCAAUCAAUGCAUGGCAUGGAGAGAGAGAUCUUGACAGAUGAGAGCAAACCCCAAUAAAUAUAUGUCACGGGAAGAGCAAACCCUGACAAAUGCAUGGCAUGGCAAGAGGAAAGCCCAAUAAAUGCACACCACCAGGAGAUUAAAGCUGAUGAAUAAAUGCAUCUUGCAGGGAGGAGAGACUGGGCCAAACAUGUGGUGCAGGGAAAGGAAACCCCAACAAAGCAGUGGGUGCUGGCGGUGGGCUUUUAGAAUAGAAGGUGCUCUGGGGCAAAUAAAGGCAGACACGGGGCAAAUAAAGGCAGACAAGGGGCAAAUAAAGGCAGACAAGGGGCAAAUAAAGGCAGACAUGGGGCAAAUAAAGGCAGACAAGGGGCAAAUAAAGGCAGACAAGGGGCAAAUAAAGGCAGACAAGGGGCAAAUAAAGGCAGACAUGGGGCAAAUAAAGGCAGACAAGGGGCAAAUAAAGGCAGACAAGGGGCAAAUAAAGGCAGACAAGGGGCAAAUAAAGGCAGACAUGGGGCAAAUAAAGGCAGACAAGGGGCAAAUAAAGGCAGACA